ACAUAUACAUACAGAUUAAGGAUUUUUUAACAAACCAAACACAGACUGUCAGACUGGGGACCAUUACUCAUCCACACUCAGCACUGGAGCUCCACAAGUUUGCGUGCUGAGUCCUCUCUUUUACUCACUCUUCUCUUACGACUGCACACCAACCCAUAGCACAAACACAAUAAUUAAGUACGUUUUCAGACGACAUCACUGUGGUGGGGCGAAUAUUAAAUGGGGAUGAGUCCACCUACAGGGAGGAGGUUGCUGAGCUUUCUGGACGGUGUACCAAUAACAACUUAACACCUCCAAGAUAAAGGAGCUCGUUAUUAAUUUCAGAAAACGGAAGAAUGAACCUUUCCCUCUGUACGUCAGGGGAGAAAUGGUGGAGAGGGUGACCACCUUUUAAAAUUCUCAACAUACGUAUCUCCCAAGACCUCACAUGGACUGUAAACACAAAUCUAAUGAAGAAGGCACAGCAGUGGCUGUACUUCUUGAGGACACUGAGGAAAACCAAUCUGUCCGAGCAGCUGCUUGUGAACUUUUACCACUACUCUGUCGAAAACAUACUAACCUACGGCAUCCUGGUGAGGUAUGUUGGUUGCACUGCCGAGAAAAAAGCUCAGCACAGAAAAUCACAAGCUCACAGUUGCCUUCACUUGAGGACAUUUACAGAACCAGAUGUUUAAGUCGGGCCAGAAACAUAAUAAAGGACUCUUCUCACCCCAGCAACCACCUCUUCACUCUGCUACCCUCUGGAAAGCACUAUCAGUCUCUUAAGAUGCACACCUCCAGACUCCUGAACAGUUUUCAUCCGAGCGCCAUCAAAGAACUGAGCUCUAAUUAACAGGGAGACUAUACAUUAUAAGUUACAGGUUGUGCAAUAAUACUACGAUUUUUUUUUAAUCUUAUUUUUAUUUAUUUUUUAUUGACUAUUUAUAUUUUUAAUACUUUUGUUUAAUUUCAUUAUACACUUGUGCAAUGACAAUAAAGGUAUUCGAUCUAUUGAAUUCAACUGCAGAAGUGCUUCUAUUUUCCACAUUAUAUUCAGUAUUCUUACUGGGAGCCGAGCCAACCAAAAGGUGGAGACAUCCUGCCCUGUUUUGAUAGAAAUGCAUCACGUGCUACAUUUUUACAUGAACACACGUCCAACUCAAAACAGAAAACUGUUUUCUCCAUUUGUCACUGAAAUUCUUUAGAAGAAAGAUGAACACCAAAGGCAGUGCUAUAGUCUUAUUCCUCUGUUUCCUGACUCUAUUUACCAUAAUAGGUUUCACUGCUGUUAUGCUGAUUGGAAAUUCUGACUAUAAUGCUAAGAUCUCGAGCUUAGCUAGGGGAUGGACUCUCAUAAAGUGUUUGAUGACUGUUUUCUGCUGUGUCUGUAAAUGCAAAGAACAACAACAGCAAGUUACAGAUGACGAGGCGUUAAGAAUGAACAAUUUACACAGCUUCACUCAAUAACUUCCAACCCACACCUCUUGAUCACUCGUGUUCAGGAACAGCUUUAUCCUUGUCAGUGUCACGGUGGAUUCAUACACUGUCCUGGGAAAACUGGGCAUGAGGCAGUAACACAUCCUGGAUGGGACUACCAGUUCACACACACACACACACACAUCUCUGGAAAAUUUAUCUUAGCCAAUCCACCUGUGAUGUGUAUAAUGUGUAAAAUAACAUCAGUAUCCAGCAGAUGCCUACCAUUAAUCCUUAACCAAGUAUUGUUUAUUUUUCCUCUAUAUUUAUAAUCCUGUAUAUUUUGUUUAUUUCUUUGUUCCUUCAUAGGGGAGAGCCAGCACAAUUCUAAUUUUCUCUAAAUACACACAUGCACGUGUAACGUCAUAACAUCCAUUUAUAAGUGCAUCACUUCUCUACAGUAUGUCAAAAAAAAAAAAAAACAAACCACAAGUCGUCCACUCUUCUGUGCUGAGGAUAUUUGUGAAAACCCCAUUUUGUAAAGUUGCAAAAAUGGAACUGAAAUAUUUUUCUAAUAUUUUUGUCUUACAUGUUGAAAAACUGAAGUCUGUGCAGUUGAUUAGAGCUUUCUCUGUGCUAAAUCUUAGUGUUGUUUUUAGAGGUAAUUCUGUUUGUUUGUAACUUUGUGACAAACCUGAUCUUAGUUUUGUUGGGUCUGUGGUUUUCCUGCCGAAAUAGGCUCAUUUGAAAAUGCAGACGCUGGUGAAAUUUAAAAGGUCACGAGUGGUGUUUCCGGGCUACUUUCAGAAUUGAGCAUGGCUGUAAUAAAAAAAAAAAAAAAAUGAAACAGCUGAAAAGCAAAAAUAAAUAAAUAAAUAAAUAAAAUUGUUG